UACGUAGGGUGCGAGCGUUAAUCGGAUUCACUGGGCGUAAAGGGCGCGUAGGCGGCCUUGCAAGUGGCGGGUGAAAUCCCUCGGCUUAACCGAGGAACUGCCUGCCAGACUGCAAGGCUCGAGACCGGGAGAGGUGAGUGGAAUUCCCAGUGUAGCGGUGAAAUGCGUAGAUAUUGGGAGGAACACCAGUGGCGAAGGCGGCUCACUGGACCGGAACUGACGCUGAGGCGCGAAAGCGUGGGGAGCAAACAGG
rnacentral:rRNA from 1 species